rnacentral:siRNA from 1 species
AGGUAUCACAUGUCACAGUUCUAC